AGUUAUUUCAAUAUUGAAGGAGUUGUUCCCAAAAGGAACAAGACAUCAACCAACAGAUUAUGAGGUUGUCUUUGAGCCCACCAGUUGCUCUGUUAUAGGAUCUUGCUAAAUCCCCUUUUUAAAUUUAGAUAAAGUCAGUAAAUGUUUUAGCUAUUAGACUAUCAAAAAUACAUCGAGGGCAUCGAUUCUCAAAUUAGCAAUAUGCUGACUUUCAUUUUGUAGGAUGCCAGAGGCAAGGAGAUUGAGGAUGUAUUGAUUCUCUCGGAGAUCAUUUGUACCGUAUGGACUAUAUGGACUUGGUUCAGGGCCAUCAUCAAAGUGGCACAGAUAUUACUAUUGCUUGUGUCCCUAUGGAUGACAGCCGUGCCUCAGACUUUGGUUUAAUGAAGAUAGACAACAAAGGGUUCUUUUCUUUAAUGAAAAGCCCAAAGGAGAGGAAUUGAAAGCAAUGGCGGUGGAUACUACAGUUUUGGGCCUGUCACGAGAGGAGGCUGAAAAGAAACCAUACAUUGCUUCCAUGGGAGUGUAUGUCUUCAAGAAGGAGAUACUCUUGAAUCUUCUAAGGUAUGGUAUUCAAGCUGCAUGUAGAUUCUAUGAUUUUUUAAAAGAAGAUGAAAUUGAAGUUUGAUAAGAAAUGUUCCCUGCAUAUCUGAUCCAGUGAACCAUCACAUCUUUUGUUCGAAAUGAGUGACAACGCACAUGAAUUGGCAUGCAGAAAAUAUACUUGAAGUUCCUUGUGUGAUUCA